ensembl:lncRNA
UCGCCAGAGGCUCCUGUGCCUCCCACCACCUGUUGCUCGUGCGGGUAGGAUGGUCUGCAGGCCAGCGCUUGGCUCUUGGAGCAGUGCUCAGCUGCCGGCCGGUGCUGUGGAAAGAACUCCUAGGACAGCAGCCAGCUUUCCUCAGUGCGAUAUCCCGACGCCGUUUUCAGCUAGACGUGCCACCGUUUGGCCUGGAAGAGAAACCCGUAGUCCCUUGGCUUCUGCCCUUCAUGUGGGGCCACGGGGCUCUGAUGCCCUCCGCCGGACCCUUUCAGGACGGAGGAGUUGGCAACGGCCCCAUCUUCCCCCAGGUUCAAAUACAUUAAGAUUCUUUCAGGCCUUCCGGGAACUCUUUACUAGAUCCGAAAGGCUCCAGUAAGAUCCCUCCAAUCCCAAGGCCUCCAGACCAAUAGCAAACACGGCUUUCUCUCUUAAAAUAUGCCUCCAGGGGCGCCUGGGUGGCUCAGUCGGUUGAGCACCCGACUUCGGUUCAGGUCACGAUCUCACGGUGUGUGGGUUUGAGCCCCGCGUCGGGCUGCGUGCUGACAGCUCAGAGCCUGGAGCUGCUUCGGAUUCUGUGUCUCCCUCUCUCUCUCUGCCCCUCCCCUGCUCGUGCGCGCGCUCUUUCUCUCUCUCUCUCUCUCUCUCAAAAAUAAACAUUAAAAAAAUUUUUUUUAAAUAUGCCUCCAAAUUCAGAAGACAAAUCGCUCCCUGUUCUUCCCCAAAAUGGAGAAGGACAACUUAAAAUGGCAACGCCCUGGGCCCCUGGGCAGUCCGAAUCUUACGCGAACUUUUAUUUCGCUCUCCUCCACGCCAGCGAUGGCACCAGGAGAUCCUCAUUCUGCUGGUCUCCCUCGCAUCAGCCAAGCACCCAACAGAAGACAGAGGACACAUUUAAAUUCGGAAGCAUUCGGCAAAUGGUAAAGGUCAUUAUCACACACCGGGAAACCCCGAGAUUUAAAGAGGAAGCAGGGCUUGCGACUGAAGCCAAAGGAGACCAAUACCGGGCACACGUGGACCCAUCUGAAGUCAUCAAUUGCAACGGCUGUCGUGUCGUGGCUUUGUGAAGGGGCAGGUCCGAAAUGAAACUCUAUUGAAGGCAGGGAUGUUCUGCACUAUUUAGGUGGGUUUUAGGUCCUAUUGUCAGGGCUUUCAGACCUUUAUCAAUUAGUACAGUUUCUCAAAUUUGUCAAAAUUCACAAAAUUCAUAAAGAUGUACAGUUAAACCAAAAUACGCUGGGACCUAUCACAGAGCUGGAGAGAUCAUAGGAAAGACUUCAGAUCCUAUUUCCACGGCCUUCCAUCUAAAACUGACUUGUCUGACAGUGCAGAGCCUGCUCGGGAUUCUCUCUCUCUCUCUCUGUCUGCCCUUCCUCGCCCACCCCCCAAAAGAAAUAAAUAACUAAAAAAAGGGCAGCACACCGCGUAAUUCCAACUAUGUGACACUCUGGAACAAGCAGAAUCGCGGAGACAGAAGACGGGUGGUUGCCAGAGAGGCCGUGGGGGAGGCAGGCAGGAUGAAUGGGGGGGUUUAGGCCAGUGAGACCAAUCUGUGUGAUACCGUCGAGGAAUACGCGUCAUCACACCCUUGUCAAAACCUUGUACCUGUAACACCAGGAGUCAACUUUAACGUAAGCUAUGGACUUUCGCCAAGUCUUCUAUCAGUUACGACAGUCGCUUUAGUUUAGCCACUGCAUCGGGAUCAGGUCAAUGAUUGUAACAAAUGUGCAAUAUCACUGCAAGGUACGUUAUGUAUUAUUAUUAAUAACGUGUAACGUUAAUAGGAAAACUACACACAAGAUGGGGGAGCAGAGAUGUGUUGGGAACUCUCUGUACUGUCUCCUCAAUUAUUUCCUGUAAAUCUAAGACUGCUCUAAAAACUAAAGCCGAUUAUUUUUUUUAAAACCUAAUGGGAGGGGCGCCUGAGUGGCUCGGUCGGUUGAGCGUCCGACUUCGGCUCAGGUCAUGAUCUCACGGUUCACGAGUUCGAGCCCCGCGUCGGGCUCUGUGCUGACAGCUCGGAGCCUGGAACCUGCUUCGGAUUCUGCGCCUCCCUCGCUCUCUGCCCCUCCCCUGUUCAUGCUCUGUCUCUUUGUCUCUCAGACAUUAAAAAACAAAAAGAAAAAACCUUAAUGGGAAGAAAGAUGUAUAUGAGUCCAAGACGUGUGGGCCAUAAAUAAACAAAUAAAGGCCAGAUUCCCUCGAGUUUCAACCCCUCAUGCCACCCUGCCUUCAGUCCUCCCCGAGACCCGUUUCAUCACCGUUACUGACUCCUGGUCCCGCCUCAUAGAGGGAUUCCCAACACCUGUCUGCCUUCCCCCGGGAGAAUCAAUGGUGCGUCUGGACGGUAUGCACCGGGCGUGUACAGCCCAUCUCCCCCACCCCACGCCCAACCUUAAUGCAGAGGGCUAGAGGUCAGAAAAAAUCAAAGAAUUUCUAGUAUUGGGGAACACCCCUUCAGCCAACCUGAAGGAGAGAUACUUUCUGCUCCAAGGGUUUCGUUUGGUUGGUUGGUUGAUUGGUUUUUUGCUCCAAGGUUUGACCACAUCACCACCCCUGGUUCUUUCUAGCUUGAACACUUCUCGUACCAGAGAAAAUUUCUUUCUGUCUGACACUUGAGACACUUGCAGAUCUCGUGGUCAAAGUGGUCUCCCCAUGCAAUACUCUUGAAUAAUUUCCACUUACUUAAAUCUGGAUUUGUUUUCAUUUGACAACGAUAUUGGCAAAGGGGUCCUUUUCCUAAACUGUAUUAGAUACUAAGUAACUUCACUCUGAAGGUCCAUGUGGCUUAACUGUGGCCAAUCCUCUUUUAAUCUUCAUGUCUCGAAGUACAAGUUACAUAUAUAAAAGCGGAUUGUUACCAGGGUACAACCUGAUGGCUUUCUCAGGCUGGACGCACUCAUAUCCAAUCAGCACCCAGGUAAAAGGGAAAAACAAUCACCAUGGAAAAUGACCAGUCCCCCAGAAGCCUCUCAUGACCCCUCCCGGUCAGUACCCUCCUCCAAAGGUAACCACUGUUCCGACCUGUGGCACCACGGAUUCGUUUUGCCUGUUUCCGUACUUUGUAUAAAGCUGCAGCAUCCGUACUCUUUCCCGUCUGGUUUCUUUUGUUCAACAACGUGUUUGUGAAAUUCGUUCCCGUGGUUGCUCAUUAGUUGUUCUUUCAUUCUCGUGACUGCGUGGCCUUCUUUUGUGCAAAUUUGCCAUCACUAAUCCCAUUCUUUAAAAAAAAUUGUUUUAGGGGCGCCUGGGUGGCUCAGUCGGUUAAGCGUCCGACUUCAGCUCAGGUCACGAUCUCGCGGUCCGCGAGUUCGAGCCCCGCGUCGGGCUCUGGGCUGACGGCUCAGAGCCUCGAGCCUGUUUCCGAUUCUGUGUCUCCCUCUCUCUCUCUGCCCCUCCCCCAUUCAUGCUCUGUCUCUCUGUCCCAAAAAUAAACGUUAGUGACUCCCCCAUAAACAGAGCCAGACCACUCGGAGAGAAAGCCACGGGCCCUUCCUGCGCACAUAAAGCUUCCGUGCUGCCUUUUUAUUUUUGAUGUAGCCAGAUGGUUCCUUCAUCCACAAGCAGUUUUUCUAACUUUUCCGCAAAUAUUGUUUUAGUGCCGUUUGUUAUCUUUUCCUUGGGUGCGGAACGCAGACGACCCCCACAUCCGUGUGUCCGGCGUGGAUCUUUCCCCGAGCUCCGGACACCCACCCGCGUCUCCGCCCAGGACCCCGUAACUCGCCAAACUGAUUUUCAAAAGCUUAGUGGUAUCUCCCCCUCAACCCCCUGGUCCCCCUCUCGGCAGUCACUGCCCUCAUCCCUACUGACGUUUGGGACUCUGCCAUUUCCCCAGACAUUCAUUCCAGGAGUUUCCGGUUGACUGGCACAUCUCCAACUCUCCUUCUUCUCCCGCCACCCAUCACCAAGCCACUUGAUUCGGCCCCCACCGUGUUUCUCACACCCAUUCCCCCUCACCCCUCCCUCAGUAGCAUCUCCCAUUUGGAGAGCUGAGGUACCGUCAUAAUUGGCCUUUCCCGUUCCACUACCUUUCCCCAGUCGCCAAACUUCUGCCAAGUUAAACUUCUGAACCGAUCUGAUGACGCUUCCAUUCCUCAGAAAUCAACACUGGCUCCCUGCCAUAGCGACCUUCCAAAUAAUGCCCAGAUUAAGCUUCCCAUACCUCAGGGGUUCUUAACUACAAAAACUAAUACACAGAGUUCCUGGGAAGGUGGUGGCAAUAGGUGUUGGAUCUUUCUGAAUAGUCACAUAAAAACAGAACAGAGAAAAUUCUCACACAAAAAGCAGACAGCCACCUAAACCAGACCAAACAACAAAUCAAAACUAUAAUAAGAUUAUCAUCUCACACCUGUUAGGCAGCUAUUGUCAAAAAGACAAGAAAAUAAUAAGUGUUGGUGAGAAAGGGGCACCUGGGUGGUUCAGUCCGUUAAGCACCCGACUUUGACUCGGGUCAUGAUCUCACAGUUCGUG